rnacentral:rRNA from 1 species
UACAGAGGUCUCAAGCGUUGUUCGGAAUUACUGGGCGUAAAGGGUUUGUAGGUGGCUUGCUAAGUCAGACGUGAAAUCCCUCAGCUUAACUGGGGAACUGCGUCUGAGACUGGUGAGCUUGAGUGCAGGAGAGGAACGCGGAAUUCCAGGUGUAGCGGUGAAAUGCGUAGAUAUCUGGAGGAACACCGGUGGCGAAGGCGGCGUUCUGGACUGCAACUGACACUGAGGAACGAAAGCCAGGGGAGCAAACGGG